ACCAAUAUUUAUUUCAUUUCUAAACUGAAGCUACCCUUUUUUUGUAUUUGGAUUUGUAACUAAAUUUCUAGAAAUGCGUGCUGCAUAUGUUAGCCAAAGUAUCGUAACCAAUUGUCAUAGAAAUGGACGUUAUUAUAGUAAGAAAAAUAAGUGUCAUGAAACGUCCCGUGACAAGUUGCUUGCCAAGAAGAAUACUCGUCUAGUUGGUCGCAUUGUCAAUUAUUUCAAGACAUGGACAGAACAAUUCGAGCCAUAUCCUGCGCCAGUUUCGCAAUCAGCUCCAGACCAGCAAAUACAGCCAGAGAUGACCCAAUUACAAGUGCAACAAGCGUUUAGGAAACCUUCUAGCAACAUCACAGUCGCCGUCUGUCCCAGCGAACAACUGGAGAUUGUUCCCAAUUCCCUUGAUGAUGUCAAGCAAUGUCACAACACCUUGCUCGCGGUCAAAAUGCUGCCCAAAGUAGCCAUCACCAUGAAGCAGGUGCCUUGCAAUUUACUGCCGUAUCCCGUGAUGCCGCUCAAGCAGACAAUGGCGCUUUACUUGCUUAGCAUUCGACCCUUCUUCACGAAGGAAGGCUUUAUUAAACAGCAGCGACUGGCCAUGGAGUUCCUUCAUAACAAAGGCUAUGAACUGCAGCAGUUGCUGGAGGCUGCAGGGCAACAGGAGAUUAAUUGGUUGGCUGACCGUUGGAUCACGUCCAAUUAUCUGCGACAUCGUGGACCACUCACAGUCUUCUCGAGUCCUUGCAUGACUUUUCCCAAGCAGGAUUUUCGCAAUGUCAUCGAUUUUACGCACUUUACGGCUCAAGCUAUCUAUGGAAUGUGCGAAUUUAAAUAUUUGCUGGAGCAUGAUCUUAUCCCGGUGCACAAGAUGGAUGAAUACGAUCUGGACAACAGUCAGUUUCACAAUGUGUUUGGCACGGUGCGAAAGCCACAAAAGUCCUCUGAUACGCUUGAGCAAUGCAACUCCGACUAUGUGAUUGUGAUACACCAAAAUAAUUUCCAUAAGUUGCCCGUUUACACGGCUGAUGAACGUAUACUUAAUAUCAACGAACUGCGCAAUCGGCUGCUUGGCAUUGUGCAAGGCAAUCAAGCGAUGGGGCCAGAGAUAGGCCUGCUCACCCACGACACGCGCGACAACUGGGCAGAUGCAUAUGGAGCACUGUGCAGCCAAGAGCACAAUGCCAAUGUGGUGGAGUGCAUCGAGGAGGCGCUCUUCACGGUCUCGAUGGAUGAGAUGGUGCAGUUGCCAUCCAAGGGACAGGAGCGUACAUUAGUCGCUAAGCAGUUGCUGCAUGGCGGGGGCCUUAACAGCAACAGCGCCAAUCGUUGGAUGGACAAGACCAUACAACUGAUUGUGAAUCCCAAUGGCACGGCCGGGAUCUGCAUGGAGCAUGCGCCGGCUGAUCCGCAGCCAGUGGUGAGCAUCAUGAACUACGUGCAGAGCAAUAUCACUAAUCCAGAGUACGGCAAUGAUGACGACAUCAUUGGAUUAGUCGAGCAACCUCAUCAACUGCACUUUAUGGAGCUGGAUCAAGGCAUUGAUCUCUGGCUGGGUGCGGCAAGAAGCAGCAUCAAUAAGAUCAGCAAUCGUCUGGAGAUGGAGGUCUUCAAGUUUCCCUGCUACGGCAAGUGUCUGAUUAAAUCGCAGGGAUUAUCCCCGGACAGCUUCAUCCAGAUGGCACUGCAACUAGCUUUCUAUCGCCUGCAUAAUGAGCUGCCGGCACAAUACGAGUCCGCGCACUUGCGCAUCUUUAAGUACGGACGCACUGAAACCAUUCGAUCCACUUCCAUGAAGUCUCUGGCUUUUGUCACGGCCAUGACAUCGAAGAACGCCUCGCUGAAGCAACGUUUGAUGGCGUUAAGAGCUGCCGUCGAUGGCCAUCAGACGCAAACCAAGUUGGCAAUGCGAGGACACGCCGUGGAUCGCCAUCUCUUCGGCUUAAUGCAGAUGGCAAGGGAAAAUGCCAUGCCGUUGCCCGAAUUCUUUUGCUCCCUCGGCUAUUUGAAGUCGACGCAAUUUCGUGUGCUCAGCGCACAGAUUGCGACGUCGCACGAUGGCUUCAUGGCCUUUGGGCCCCACACCUCGGAGGGUUAUGGCUGCUGUUACAAUCCUCGCGAGAACGACAUCAUUUUGGCCAUCUCUUCGUGGAAUCUCAAGCCGCAUAUUAGCGCCUUGGACUACGCCAAAGCCAUCGAGUUGGCACUGGCCGACAUGGGACAAUUGAUAUUGGAAGCUGGCGGAUAUUGUGCUGCAAAGGCGGCAUCUGAUUGCAAGAAGGAAGUCAAGGAAUGAUUUUCGAAAUCCAAUUUGUCGAUAUUUUUAUUUAACGAUACUACAUUAAAGUGGCUCAGUGAUAGCAGCUGCAGGAAAUGGCGCUCUUGAAGGUCACAUUGCGCACUCCCUCCAUGCAAAGCACACGACGUUGAAUCUACAAGAGGAGUACAGAAUCAAAAAGAGAUCAUCGGAGAUAUCUAGACCUAGUCCUUA